rnacentral:tRNA from 1 species
GCCAACAUAGCUCAAUUGGUAGAGCAGCCGUUUUGUAAGCGGCAGGUUAAGGGUUCGAGUCCCCUUGUUGGCU